rnacentral:lncRNA from 1 species
UUAGGGUCAAUUUGAAUACCCGGAGAGAGGGUCUAUCCGUGGGCUGCACCUCCCCUUGGGGAUUAGUCUGGGCCUCUCCAUGGGCCUGGGAUACCCCCAGGUUAAUCAAAAAAAAAAAAAAAAAAUCAUAAUUUGCGGACACAAAAAAAUGAUAUUAGGAGUUUUAAACUAAAUGAAUAAUAAGAUAUCCUUACUAAUAAAAGGAACCUUUUGAGGCUCCAUAGAGCGUCCACAUCAGCAAAAAAAAUUUCUCCCGAAAGAUGACACGUGGCAUAAAAUAUAGUUUUACAUUUUAAUAUUACUAAUUUUUGAAAAUUAUAAAUAAUAUGUAAACAAACAUCAUAAAAAUGGAAAAACUACAUUAAACAUAUGUAAAAUUACCAUUUUUCACUUAAAAAAAAAAAGACGGCAUAUCUCCAUAAUGUAACAUUACCGUUUUAUAAAAAAAACAAAAAACAACUAAUAAAAGGAACCUUUUGAGGCUCCAUAGAGCGUCCACAUCAGCAAAAAAAAUUUCUCCCGAAAGAUGACACGUGGCAUAAAAUAUAGUUUUACAUUUUAAUAUUACCUUACUAAUAAAAGGAACCUUUUGAGGCUCCAUAGAGCAUCCACAUCAGCAAAAAAAAUUUCUCCCGAAAGAUGACACGUGGCAUAAAAUAUAGUUUUACAUUUUAAUAUUACUAAUUUUUGAAAAUUAUAAAUAAUAUGUAAACAAACAUCAUAAAAAUGGAAAAACUACAUUAAACAUAUGUAAAAUUACCAUUUUUCACUUUAAAAAAAAAGACGGCAUAGCUCCAUAAUGUAACAUUACCGUUUUAUAAAAAAAACAAAAAACAACUAAUAAAAGGAACCUUUUGAGGCUCCAUAGAGCGUCCACAUCAGCAAAAAAAAUUUCUCCCAAAAGAUGACACGUGGCAUAAAAUAUAGUCUUACAUUUUAAUAUUACUAAUUUUCGAAAAUUAUAAAUAAUAUGUAAACAAACAUCAUAAAAAUGGAAAAACUACAUUAAACAUAUGUAAAAUUAACAUUUUUCACUUAAAAAAAAAACGGCAUAUCUCCAUAAUGUAACAUUACCGUUUUAUAAAAAAAAACAAAAAACAUUAUAUAUAAUUUAGAAAAUAAUAAAUAUAUUUAAACAUACAACAUAAAAAAUAGAAAUACUUCAUUAAACAUAUGUAAGAUUACCAUUUUACAUAUUUAUUUUUAAAAAAUAAUAUGUAAACAUACAACAUAAAAAAUGGAAAAACUACAUUAACCAUAUGUAAGAUUACCAUUUUUCACUAAAAAAACGGUUUAUCUCCAUAAUGUAACAUUACUAUUUUGUAAAAAAAAAACAUUAUAUGUAAUUUCGAAAAUAAAAAAAUAAUAUGUAAACAUACAACAUAAAAAAUAGAAAUACUACAUUAAACAUAUGUAAGAUUAUCAUUUUACAUUUAAAAAUAACAAUAAUAUGUAAACAUACAACAUAAAAAAAUGGAAAAACUACAUUAAACAUAUGUAAGAUUACCAUUUUUCACUAAAAAAACGGCUUAUCUCCAUAAUGUAACAUUACCAUUUUAUAAAAAAAGAAAAAAAACAUAUAUAUAACUAUUUGACUAUUUGUC